rnacentral:rRNA from 1 species
UACGUAGGCAGCAAGCGUUGUUCGGAAUUACUGGGCGUAAAGAGUGUGUAGGCGGUGCUCUAAGUCUGUUGUGAAAUCUCCCGGCUUAACCAAGGAAUGGCGUCUGAUACUGGACGGCUUGAAUUCGGGAGAGGGAUGUGGAAUUCCAGGUGUAGCGGUGAAAUGCGUAGAUAUCUGCAGGAACACCCGUGGCGAAAGCGGCGCGCUGGACCACUACUGACGCUGAGGAACGAAAGCUAGGGGAGCAAACAGG